rnacentral:rRNA from 1 species
CCUACGGGAGACAGCAGUGAGGAAUAUUGGUCAAUGGGCGUAAGCCUGAACCAGCCAAGUCGCGUGAGGGAUGAAGGUUCUAUGGAUCGUAAACCUCUUUUAUAAGGGAAUAAAGUGCGGGACGUGUCCCGUUUUGUAUGUACCUUAUGAAUAAGGAUCGGCUAACUCCGUGCCAGCAGCCGCGGUAAUACGGAGGAUCCGAGCGUUAUCCGGAUUUAUUGGGUUUAAAGGGUGCGUAGGCGGCCUUUUAAGUCAGCGGUGAAAGGCUGUGGCUCAACCAUAGAAUUGCCGUGGAAACUGGGAGGCUUGAGUAUGUGAGAGGCAGGCGGAAUGCGUGGUGUAGCGGUGAAAUGCUUAGAGAUCACGCAGAACCCCGAUUGCGAAGGCAGCCUGCCAGGCCAUGACUGACGCUGAUGCACGAAAGCGUGGGGAUCAAACAGGAUUAGAUACCCGAGUAGUC